AAGAUCGUGUCGUUCUAGAUUA
rnacentral:miRNA from 1 species